rnacentral:rRNA from 1 species
GAUGAACGCUGGCGGCGUGCUUAACACAUGCAAGUCGAACGAGAAGUGAAGACGGAAACCUUCGGGCGGAAGGCUUUAUUUCGAGUGGCGGACGGGUGAGUAACGCGUGGGUAACCUGCCUCAUACAGGGGGAUAACAGUUGGAAACGACUGUUAAUACCGCAUAAGACCACAGCACCGCAUGGUGCGGGGGUAAAAACUCCGGUGGUAUGAGAUGGACCCGCGUUCGAUUAGCCAGUUGGCGGGGUAACGGCCCACCAAAGCGACGAUCGAUAGCCGAUCUGAGAGGAUGGCCGGCCACAUUGGGACUGAGACACGGCCCAAACUCCUACGGGAGGCAGCAGUGGGGAAUAUUGCACAAUGGGGGAAACCCUGAUGCAGCGACGCCGCGUGAGUGAAGAAGUAUUUCGGUAUGUAAAGCUCUAUCAGCAGGGAAGAAAAUGACGGUACCUGAGGAAGAAGCCCCGGCUAACUACGUG